UACGUAGGUGACCAGCGUUGUCCGGAUUUACUGGGCGUAAAGAGCGCGCAGGCGGUCGUUCAAGUCGAGUGUGAAAGCCCCCGGCUCAACUGGGGAGGGUCACUCGAUACUGAUCGACUUGAAGGCAGGAGAGGGAAGCGGAAUUCCCGGUGUAGUGGUGAAAUGCGUAGAUAUCGGGAGGAACACCAGUGGCGAAGGCGGUUCUCUGGGACGGUACUGACGCUGAGACGCGAAAGCGUGGGGAGCGAACAGG
rnacentral:rRNA from 1 species